CGCGCGGACGGUUCGCCGCCGCCGCCGGGGAGCGCCGGAGACCCCCCCGGGCCGCUACUGCGUCACGUCCCCCCCGCUCCUCCGUGAGGACGUCGGCACCGGGCCGGAGUGCCGCUACCGGUGACGGAUAUCCCGGGUCCGUUGCCCGCUCGAAGCAGAAAGCAGCGACGCGGGAACUGGCGUGCGCUUGGUUUGCUCUCUCGAGUUGCAAAAUCCAGGGAAAUUGUGUUUUCGUGUGUAGCGGCCGUGAGUAACUUUGACCGAAGCAUCCUUCCUUCCUGCCAGUUCUGAAGGAAGGAAUCUCUCCCUUGCCUUUGGUCUCCGUGCUGACGGGAACUCAUACGGGCUUGGUUACUUCAGCCGCUGCUAGGGGAGAGGGGGCCGUGCCGGAGCGGCUGUCACACGGCGUGCUGGUAUGGCUGCUUUGUUCAGUGACACGGGGAUGUUCUUCACCUGCCCUCGGUUGGCUGAGGGGAGCCUUCAUGGCGGCUGCAGCUCCUCACAGGGAGCGGAGGGGCAGCGCUGAGCUCUGCUCUGUGUGACAGCGACAGGGCCCGAGGGAACGGCAUGGAGCUGUGUCAGGGGAGGGGCAGCUGGCGGUCAGGGACAGGGUCUGCACCAGAGGGCGGUGGGCUUUGAAUGGGCUGCCCAGAGCUGUGGGCACAGCCCUGAGCUGCCGGAGUUCAGUGAGCAUUUGACAUCACUCUCAGACGUAAGGUCUGAUCCGUAUGAGUCUCUUCCAGCUUGGAAUAUUCUUUGAUUCACCCUUGAAUUCAAGGUGUUGAACAACCCUGAACCAUGUGCUCCACUGGCAGUGAAGUGCCUCACGCUGACACGGCUUGUUCUUCCUGAGACAAGCUAACGUUACCUCAUGCGUAUAACUUUUUAUAUUGAUAUAAGCAUAUCUGUACCAGGAAAGCUCAGUGAAUUAACUUUACUACUUCUGGCUACAGAUCGCAUAAAAAUAAAUCGUUUCCAUUACUCGUCCUGACAUAGGUAACUCAAAUGUAGUGCUCUUUUGGAAACAAAGCACGCAGUGAAAUUGAAACAGCUUUACUAUGUGAGAAAGUCCUUGUUUGCUUAUAUAUUCAACUGGAACACAUACAUCACAUAUAGAGCUACAUAGUAAUCAAAUUGAAGUACAUAUACAUAAAAAUAAUAUAUGCCUGAAAAAGUGUAUAUUAUGCACGUUUCCGUGUCAAGCCCUAUAUAAACCAUUAGGUUCCAGAAGUGUCUAUUAUGUAAGUAGCUUACAUAAAUAAUCUAAUUGGUGACACACCUAAUACCUGGCAAUGUGUUCUGUUGAAUAGAAGUCCAAAAUUUAUUUAGAAGAUGAAUUAAAAGAAUGUAUCUAAAAGCUGCAAUUCAUGGGUCAGAGUUAAGAUUGUGUUUUUUUUUUAAUCCACUAUAGAGGGGACUUUCCCUUCCUAAGUGGCUGUUCAUAUUCCUUUGCUCGAGCCCCACAUGAACACAGAUUUCAGCACCAUCCAAUAAUAAUCUGAAAAUUGCCUUCAUGGGUGAAGAUUGCUUUGAGUGGCAUUACUGGAAGUUACCCAUAGCCCUGCCUUAAUCUGGUCUGGGAAGACUUCCUAAAAAAUCAUUUCCAUAUCCAGCCUAUCAGCUAGAGUAAGGAUAUGUAUCCAAAUGAUCAGAGUAAUUCUUGCCCAUGCCUGGUUUGGAUGAGGAGUACAUACAUGAGGACUUCAAGAUGGUAAGCUCUGCAAGGCAUCUGCACCAGCUGCCAUCUGAAUAGUCAACUGGAUAGGUGCUGCUAGCUGGAAUGGCCCUGGUCUGUCAGAGUGCUGGAAAUACAGGCCACGUGUGACCUUCGAGCAUGCUAGGAUGGAGAAAAUCCUUCAACAUUUGGAAAGCUGAUGUUCCCGAGUUGUACUGGAAGUUGUGGUUGGGCGGGGGCACCUGUUUAAUGCUGCAAGUUUCAUAAACAGAAAGAGAGGAGAGGAGAGGAGAGGAGAGGAGAGGAGAGGAGAGGAGAGGAGAGGAGAGGAGAGGAGAGGAGAGGAGAGGAGAGGAGAGGAGAGGAGAGGAGAGGAGAGGAGAGGAAGACUUUUUCAAGUUUCUGUAAAGUCUCAUAGAUUGCAGUGAGAAAUUCAUAAAUGAUACUGGAUGAUAUACAAUAGUUGAUGACAGGAUUUUUAGAAAUUCGGACGAAUUUAUUGCAUCAAAAAUAAGAAUUGUUCCCUGGACUGCUGCGUAUGUUAACAGUGUUGCCAUUCCUCUUGUCACUCUGGGAGACUCAGAUGUCUUUUUGCUUCUCAGGCUGAUGGUGCCUUUUACUGGGCAAAUGUGCUGGAGAAAGGAACUGGAUAACUGUUCCAAGUAACUGCAGAAUAAUAACAAGGACUUUGUUGGCAAAUUGAAGGUCAGGUGGAGGAGCCAUGCAGACACUGAUCAAUAUUUGCUGCAAGUGACAGAUGUUCACUAUGUCUUGCUCAAAAUCUAUGAGAGAAGGAGGAAGUGUCCAAACUGCUCAGGAAAACAGGAUGAGGGAUUUUGUUCUGCUCUUUCUUAAGCCAGAGAAUAUAGAGGUGAAAAAUGAAUGCGUUGUAGCCAAAUAACAGACAAGCAUCUUUAUUACUCUUUUUUGUUAAGAACUUUUGUUAUUAGGGGAAGGUGAGAACUUUGGGAUGCCUCUACCCAUUUUUUCAUGAUGACCUUUACUAACUCAGCUUAGCUCUGACAUGACACACCUUAAGUGCUGAGUACACUUAUCUUUGGAAAGGAAAGCAGAAAUCACUCCUGUUUUCUGGAAAGGACACGGAGAUCCUUGGGGACCUACAGGAAGUCACUGCUACUCGUAUUAACCUUGGUAUGCACUUGAGGUACUAGUAUGAAUAUAACAUCUAAAUAUUCUUCAGAGAUUUUUUUCCUUCUGCAUAAUUUCUAGCAAAUUUCCUUGUGUGUUGCUUUCCUUGUCCAAGCCUCCUCUGAAGCUAGAUACUUGCAUGUAAGUGAACACAAAUUGUCACAAGCAUCCUUCCAGUUCUUUUAGUGCCUUCUGGUUCCUGUGCUAAAAGCCAUUCAGAGGAACCAUGAACAUCUCCUUCCUAUUCUCUUUUUCUAUUUUGAAACAUUUUUUCAUGCCUCACGCAGCUUGCAGGGCUCAUGUUCGUCAUCAUUAUGGUGCCUCGAUUGCCAGAGACAAAUUGCAAAUAUUUGUCAUUUCUACACAGAACACAGUGCCAAUGAUAAUAGGUUUCCUUUUUCUCUCAAUUUUGGGAUGUCAUUACCAUCUGCUUCUUCAGCCUGGGCUUCCCUAGGAAAUUGUUGUUCCCAGGGAAGGCAGUGGUGUUCAACUAAGUAGGAUGCCUCCCACUUUACGUGACCUUGCUAUAGAAAGCCUGUGCUGCUGCUGGAAUGGGAAGGAGAGAAGAAGAUCCAGAAUUGGUGAGAGCUGACCAGCAACAGGAUUCAAGCUUUUAGUUCUAUGUGCAUGUUGGCAGGGACGUUACCUUGAAGUGUGUUUCCAAGAGAUGAGGAAAAAGCCAUACCAAAAAAGGCAGUGGAUAGCUCAGAAACGAAUUCAGCAUUGCACAGAAGGGUACUGAAACGUAUUUAACUGCAGAAGUAAAUGAGAGACAUCAUACUGUCAAGCAGGAAGGUAGCAUUGCCCUGCUCUGUGUGAUAGUAAAAUAGUAAAAUACUGAAAUGGAAUGCAGUCUUUGCAUUUACAUCUCUGAUAGCACAUGCAGGUCAGCACCAUGUGCACUAGAAAGGAACAGACUUCAGAGCAACUGGCCCAAAUCCAAGAAUUUUAUACUGGUAAAGAUUUGAUUUUAAGCGUCUCAUAAUCUCAGCAUUUUGAAAUGCUUAAUUUUGGUAAUUUGUCUCAUAAAAUGUGAAAGGAGCUAAGAGCGCAGCGUGCUGAACGUAGCAUGAGCCAAAGUAAAUCUGCUAUUGCUUUUUCUCUGCUUUCACUGUUAACGGCAAGCCUGCCCUGCAGUCCGUGCUCCCUUUAACUCUUGCAGCGCCUCCACACUCUUGGCAUGACAGGGAGAGCAGCAGCCAAGCAGCGUGAGGUGAGGACGUGGGUUGGGUUCUCAUUUGUGGAAGACCACAGUGACCAUUUUGGGGAAGGUAGUGCCAAGCUGGUGGAGAUAACUCAUGGUUCCCGCAGCUCAUUUCCACUGUCACUGAUGGCAUCCGGAUAUUGCCUGGGUUAGAGGUGCGGGGCUGCAAUCUAAUACAGGACAUGAUAGCAGGAUUUUGCUCUGCAGCAUUUUCAAGCUCACCAUCUAUCUGGAUUUCAAAAAGCAUUUUUGUAACCUCAGUCUUUGCAUUUCAGUGUAGAAGUUUGAAAAAUACAUUAGCUUUACAACUCCCCAUAUGAAGAGGCAUCAUUUGACACCUAUCGUAAACCCCAUUACUACAUUACAACACUGGGGUCCUGUGGUGAUUUGUAUUAAUCUUUUCCAGCUCACCCAGUUCUGGGCAUUUGGAAAGGAAAGUCUUGGAGGUCUCGCUCACACAUUUCAUGCUCUUGUAGUCCAACUGGUAUUUGCUUUCUGCUGGCACUGUUCCCUCUCUCAGAAACGCCUCUCCCUUGCAUUCAGUUUGACAAAUCAUGGUACUUAAGGCAUGUCACAGAACUGGGUAUGGAUUUACUACACACAACCUAUGGUACAGUAUCAGGGGAAGAAGAGAGGCUGUGCUCUGGAGUGUGCAAAUUUGGCUGGAAUUGCAAAGGAACCCAUCCGCAUUCAGCUAGAUUUAAUCCAGAUGAUCUUGUAACAGAAGAGGGCACUCAGGGGCCAGACAGCAAAUAAACUAUAUCAUGAUAUGCGAUGAGGGAAAAUCAUUGAGAGGAUGGACAGAAUCCUCGUCUGAGCUCAGUGCAGCUUAUAGCUGGUAAGCCUGGGUUUCAUUCAUGCAAAACGAAAGCCCAGUCACUUUAAAACAAUCCCUGUGAAUACAUGCGAGACAACUCAUCCAAAGCAUUUGAAGUAACAUCCCUGUGUAGACAGGACUUCAUUAUGCUACUUGUUAUUGUUUUCAGUGAGUCCUCACCUGCUCUUUUAAGUUCAACAUACAUUACGAGAGAAAAUUAUUGCUCAUUAUUGUUGUAUUCCCUAAUUGCCUUCUAUAUUAGUGUGUUCAAAGGAAUGUAUUUUUUCUCUUCUGCCCUUCUCUGCCUGCAUCCAGCAACACUCAGCAUUUUCUACAGAGCUCAGAAUUGCUUGCAUUCUUAUAAAAAUGCCUCAGCCAUAUGGGAUUUGCUGAGAGUAAAUUAAAAAGUGCAUGACUUGGGGAAACGCAAUCCUUUAUACUGCACUGAUUCCAUAGUCACGGUAUAAACACGAAGUGUUAGUAUAAAGAAUUUCCACAGUCUUUCAGCAUUUGAGUCCACGUUCUGCACAGGCCAGGAGUGGCAGGAGCUCUCCUGUCAAGGAGUGUGAUGUUGCACUAAGGGGCAGGGGCCAGCUUCUGUGCUUGUAAGUAUAUUGCACCAGCCAAGCUCUAGCUGCAGCCUUGCAGUUUUCCAGGCAGCUCUGCUUCCUUUAGGCAAAGGAACGUGAGCUACUGCAGCUAAUUUUAUGCUAUAUAAAUAAUGUUGAUAGAGAGACAAGCCUGAGAUUAGGUAGGUAAGAUAGCUAAAAUAAUACAUUAAAUAGGAAAGUUGAAGCAUUUGUUUAUCAGAAAUAUGAGUAUGUUCCUCAAGGAGCUGCAGGAGCCUGACUGUAAUGAUGACAAAUGAGAGAUCCCAGAAUAAUAAGAUCAGUCUUGCAUAUAGGCAGAGCCACAACUGAGACUCUGUGUGACAUAGAUGUGCUUGUUGUACAGAGAAAUUGGGUCCUUAGAUUCUGAUAGAGAACAUUGCCUCUUCUUAACAGCCUGCACUUGACGUGCUGACAGAGCAAAGGCUAUGCUGUGUGCCUGGUGCUACUCUGCUUGUCUCCUUCUGCUCCACCUCCCCUUGAGCAUCUCUUCUGGUGGCACAACAGUACUGGACCGAGAGCCACUGAGAGCAGGGACCAUCUUCUGUACAGCACUUCCACUGCUAAUGUCUUGUGUUACUCUUGCCUGAAGCAUUUCAUAUAAUCUCUCUCUUUGCUGGGCCGUAGAGAAAGCAGGGAAUUUGCUGUAGAACAAGAUGCAUGGGGUGAUGUGUAAGAGGCGGUUUUGCUAUAGGUUACCUGCACAUAGGCAUCUUUGUUGCCCUUCAGAGGUAUCCAUUCAGCUCACCUGUGGGCAGGCACUUUCCUCACCCUCCUGCACAGAACCAGCAGAAUAAGAGCAUCUGGAGCCAGUGGGCAGCCUGCUCCUUCCCACUUUGGUAACGAGACUGUGCCAAAAUUAGGGACAUGAGGGAAGUGAGCUGCUAGUUGCUUUCUUCUUUAGUCCUCUUUGCAGAUAGGAAUCUAGACACUGGACUUUCUUCCUUCUGAGUAAUAUAUACCUUUCCUCAUUCUUCUGAGCAGUUUAUACCUUGACUCACUGCUGUCCUACUUCAAAGGUGCAGAAAUCAGAGGGAGAUCUCUCACACCUCACUGGAAUGAAGUUGUAUCUUCUCACCUCAGGAUGGGUAAACAGUAUGUCAUCUCAGCUGAGAUCCUAACGAAGAUGACCACAAGUCUUGGGGUGGCACACCCGCACUGCGGGAGCAGGGAGAUGGCUUUGCAGCGCUGAGUGCAAAAAGAGAAGGUACAGAAACACUGUGCAAAGGCUGCAUUAGUUCUGCUGCCUGUGGAGUAAUUUAGCUUUUCUACUUGUACCUCUUACUUGGCACUGUUGUUUUUUUUUCCUAGUACAGAAUAAAUAAUUCAUCGCCAACCUUACUGUUGCGAUAGAUCUGCAC
ensembl:lncRNA